rnacentral:lncRNA from 1 species
CUUAUUGGGCGCAGAUGCUUUAUGUGCUUCUGGUGAUUGCGUGAUUGCAGACUAUGUGCUCUGGUGUAAUAAUGAAUGUGUUAGCCUGUCCUUUUACACCUUCUUGAGUUCAUAUGCUCCCUUGUUUAAGCUUUGAUUCACAUGAUUGCUGUUAGUUAAAAGUCACUGAGAUAGAUUAGUUUCGUACUUUAGCCGGAUGAUCUGUGCUAUUAUUGCUGUUAAAUUAUAUUGUUCUGGAUUCUGGCAACUUUAUCAGCUGAAUUUCUACCAAGUUACUUCUUCCUAUCUAUAGUUCGUCUAGGUAGUCAGUAUGGAGGAUAUGGUGGAGGCCCUGGUUCGGCUGGUUUUGGUGGUGCUGGUGGUUAUGGAGGAGUUGGUGCUGGUGCUAAUUCCGGUUCUGCUGGUGGACUUGGUGGUGCUGGUGGCCCAGGUGGUGCUUUGGGUGGUGCAGGUUCUUUGUAUAGAUUGCCGGGUUCGGGUGGAAUGCCUGGUGGUGGAUAUGGAGAGGGUGGACAUUAUAGUUUAUCAGCUUCAUCUGGGUACCAGAAUCAGCAUCACCCUCCUUCUGGAGCCUCACCAGCUCCAAGGGUUCCACCUGGUUCUAUGUAUCCAAAUGUUCCCCCUUACUACUGAGGUAAUAUUUAAUGUUGUUUUUUUAACCUUCUUUGUCAUAUAUUUCUGUUCCUGGGUUGUGAGUCUGCUUCUGUUUGCUUUCACUGCAAUUCUUGUUGCUUGUUGCUUGUAUGUGGAAGUGUGUAGUAUGUCUGUUUGUCAUUUGUUAUUCAAUCUCAUUUGAGUUUUAGCAUUAUUGGAUCCCGUGUUACCUGCUGGUUUUGUUCAUGAAUAAUCAAUGGUGUGCAGAGUAAGUACAUUUGUGGUAUACUGUGUACUUUGAUCUUUUAUGUGUGUUGAGAUAAAAAAAUUACUUCACAUCGUGUAUGCUAUGGUAUGUUGUCCCCUUGUCAUGAUUUCGUAUGCUACUUGUCAUCACAUGCAUUUUUUAUAAGAUGUAUGAUUAGAUAUAUAAUGCCAUGUUGUUUUCUCAUUUUCAACAGUAAUGCAUUAAUCUGUUUGUCACCAUUUGACAACCUCCAUGAUUGCGAUCUUAUCAAAAUUUUGUUAUGUUUAAUUGGACACACUAAAUUGCUUAUGUUGUUGUAGGAUAUCAUCAGCUGCUAUGGUCCAACGAUAUAUUGAAAUGCACUGAUUCUAUAUAACUAUAAUAUCAUGCAUUCUAUUAAGACAAUGUUCCAAUUUGCUUACCUUAGUUGUUGAUGAUAAACUGUUGUGCUUGAAAAUUGCAAAUUUUGUCUUUUAUUCGGAGAUAUGAGGUCAACUGUGAACUUAUAGCUGUCAACAAAGAUUUUUUAUUAUUCAGAAGUUAGUGAUCGGGGCUGUCUUCAGUAGCCAUAUGGAUAAUAACAUUUGAGUUACUUUUUAAAUUUUAUAAAUUAUUAUUUUGGGUCUAGGAAGGGGGACAAGAGAUUUAAAUAAAACAUCGAAGAUUUGACGCAAGUUCUCUAUUUAGCGAUUUUAGCUAAAAGAUAAUAAAUAAAAGCGUUCUCCUGACCCUUUUGGCUACUCUGUCUUUCAUCUCUGUUAUUACUAACUGCUUGCAAUAAAAAUCUGAAAUUGGAGUUAAUCUCUGUCUGGUCAAAAAUCAAAACUCUAUUUCCUGUGCCUUAUGAAGAAUUUGUGUCCUGUACCCAUUUCAUCUUGAUUUAUAGAAUUAACUUUAGCUGACUUGGGCAUGGCCUCAGUUUUUGGGCAUUGUCUUCUGAUUACCAGUUUUGUUCAAACUUGCUUGCUAGCAUGGGACGUUCUUCAUAUUUUGUAGUUUUUCUUUACUUUGUUUUUCCCAUGGUUGUCUUUUGUAACUGCAUGGUGUGUUGUAUGUGGUUUAUUUUUUAUGUUUAGUCGUUGCCUUUGGAGUUUCAUGCUUGUCUUGUAUAUUUUAUUUCCCUUGCUUGAAAUUGUAAUAUCUAUUGUAGUAUUUUGUGUGUACUUGACAUGGGUUGUGUUUGUUGUUGUUGUUGCCCUUAGAAAGGGUGAGUAUUGAUUUGUUAUUAUCAAUUUUGUCAUAAGCACUUUUGCUUUAUAAUGUAUUUUCCUUUCAGUGACGGUUGUGAAAUGAUGAAUUGAGCUGAAUGGGUGUUUGAUUCAGGUGUAUCAUCGCUUAUUGGGCGCAGAUGCUUUAUGUGCUUCUGGUGAUUGCGUGAUUGCAGACUAUGUGCUCUGGUGUAAUAAUGAAUGUGUUAGCCUGUCCUUUUACACCUUCUUGAGUUCAUAUGCUCCCUUGUUUAAGCUUUGAUUCACAUGAUUGCUGUUAGUUAAAAGUCACUGAGAUAGAUUAGUUUCGUACUUUAGCCGGAUGAUCUGUGCUAUUAUUGCUGUUAAAUUAUAUUGUUCUGG